rnacentral:rRNA from 1 species
UGGGGAAUCUUGGACAAUGGGCGCAAGCCUGAUCCAGCCAUGCCGCGUGGGUGAUGAAGGCCCUAGGGUUGUAAAGCCCUUUCGGCGGGGAAGAUAAUGACGGUACCCGCAGAAGAAGCCCCGGCUAACUUCGUGCCAGCAGCCGCGGUAAUACGAAGGGGGCUAGCGUUGCUCGGAAUCACUGGGCGUAAAGCGCACGUAGGCGGAUCCUUAAGUCGGGGGUGAAAUCCUGGAGCUCAACUCCAGAACUGCCUUCGAUACUGAGGAUCUCGAGUCCGGGAGAGGUGAGUGGAACUGCGAGUGUAGAGGUGAAAUUCGUAGAUAUUCGCAAGAACACCAGUGGCGAAGGCGGCUCACUGGCCCGGUACUGACGCUGAGGUGCGAAAGCGUGGGGAGCAAACAGG